GGACCCGCACAAGUAGUGGAGUAUGUGGUUUAAUUCGAUGCAACGCGAAGAACCUUACCAGGGUUUGACAUCCUGCGAAUCUCUUGGAAACAGGAGAGUGCCUUCGGGAACGCAGUGACAGGUGGUGCAUGGCUGUCGUCAGCUCGUGUCGUGAGAUGUUGGGUUAAGUCCCGCAACGAGCGCAACCCACGUCUUUAGUUGCCAGCAUUUAGUUGGGCACUCUAGAGAGACCGCCGGUGAUAAACCGGAGGAAGGUGUGGAUGACGUCAAGUCAUCAUGCCCCUUACAUCCUGGGCUACACACGUACUACAAUGCUACGGACAAAGAGCAGCAAGUUCGCGAGGACAAGCAAAUCUCAUAAACCGUGGCUCAGUUCAGAUCGUAGGCUGCAACUCGCCUACGUGAAGGAGGAAUCGCUAGUAAUCG
rnacentral:rRNA from 1 species